GGAGCUUUGUGAAGGAGGAAGAGUCAGUGCUUGAGGAGCUGCCCAUGAGGAACACCCAGAAGCCUGUUGGAUGCUCACCCGGAAGGAGCACAAACCCAGGUGGAGCUGCUGGAGCCAAGCCCUGGGAUGGGGAUUGGCACUUGGCAAUGGAUGUGCUGCUCUGGGAAACUUCAUCCAGGCAUUCCCAAGCAGUGCAUUCCUGCUCCAUUCUGAACACCUGGCCAGGUUUGGCAGGGCCAGGCCUCAGAUCCAGGCUGCUGCUCUUUCCCAGAGCGAGGACACAGCUCAGCUGCCAAGGACCAGCAUCCCAACAUCCCAACAUCCCAUCAAGCUGCAGCAGGACGAGCACCUCCAGUCCUUUCCUGCCCUGGUCCCACCAUGUGUGGGAAGCCCCAUCCCUCAUCCCUGUGCUCUGCUGUUCCCUUAGUGCUGCCCCAGCCCAGUCUGGGUUUGGCCUCAAAUCUUGGCUGGGAGUGGUUAAACCCUGCCUAACUCUGAGAACUCAAUGGGAGAGAGAAGAACUCUCACUCAGAGAGACUUGGGUAAAAGUAAAAUACUGUAGAGUGUGGGGAUCUCACCUGUGUAGUUUGUGAGGCUGGGGAAUCCAUUUAAAAGAUGAAUUAUUUAAUAUUAACACCCCCUCACCCUCUGAGCAGGAGAAGUGGGUAAUGUAUAGC